AUUUUAAAAUGUGCAAACAAGGAGCUUUCUCUUCAGUGGAUAAGCAAUGCAGGGUAGAACCCAGACACCUUGCACAAGCUGUGUAUUGCUUAAACCAUAGCGUCCAUUAGAGCAGCCCAAUCUGCUUAAUCGUUAAUUUCUUCAAGUGGCACAGAGAUACAGCCCAAAAGACUAGUGCUUGACUGCUAAUAAGAAAGAGAAGAUGACUCAUUGCUACUAAAGUAACCUCUAACAAUCAACAGGAUAUUACUCCAAGUAUUGACAUUAAGGCCCUGCUCUUGCAAGAUGCUGAGCACUCUGGCUCCAACCCAACAAAGCAUGCUCUCUGGAACCAGUAGACAUAAAACACUCCAUGUCGGAAACAUACAGCAUACAGCUCUGAGCAAAGGGGCCUAUUUUCGUCAUGGAUAAGAUAAACAAUGGCCUAAUUGGAGGAAACAUCUCUCCUGGAUGGAGCCCAUCUUGGAGCUGUCAGCUGCAGAAGUUACAAAUGGCUUUGUCGCUUUGUAACAUAAACAGUGUUUGAAAAUGUUGGUGCUGAGCUGUUGAUAUUAAAAUCACCUCAUUAAUCA